GAUGAAGAACGUAGGGAAAUGCGAUAAGUAAUGUGAAUUGCAGAAUUCAGUGAAUCAUCGAAUCUUUGAACGCACAUUGCGCCCGCUGGUAUUCCGGCGGGCAUGCCUGUUCGAGCGUCAUUUCAACCCUCAAGCUCUCCGGAGUUUGGUGUUGGGGCGCCUGGGGCUUUUCGACCUCAGGGCCCUCAAGUCCAUCGGCGGGACCGCCAGGACACUGAGCGCAGUAGUAUUAUUUCGCUCGGUAGGAUCUUCCACGGCGGGUCGAUCUGGCCGCUAAACCCCCCAAUUCUCACCAAAGGUUGACCUCGGAUCAGGUAGGAAUACCCGCUGAACUUAAGCAUAUCAAUAAGCGGAGGA
rnacentral:misc_RNA from 1 species